rnacentral:rRNA from 1 species
GACGAACGCUGGCGGCGUGCUUAACACAUGCAAGUCGAACGGAAAGGCCCUGCUUGCAGGGUGCUCGAGUGGCGAACGGGUGAGUAACACGUGGGUGAUCUGCCCCUUACUUUGGGAUAAGCCUGGGAAACUGGGUCUAAUACUGGAUAGGACCAUGCUGUAGGUGGUGUGGUGGAAAGAUUAGUUUCGGUAAGGGAUGAGCUCGCGGCCUAUCAGCUUGUUGGUGGGGUAAUGGCCUACCAAGGCGUCGACGGGUAGCCGGCCUGAGAGGGUGGACGGCCACAUUGGGAGUGAGAACCGGCCGGCAGCCCACCGGGGGGAGGCGGGGGGGAAGGUUGCACAAGGGGGGCAGGCGUGAUCCAGCUCCGCGGGGUGGGGGAGGCCGGCUUUCGGGUGUUAACCUCCUUCCAGCCCGGACAAACCCCUGUGGGGGACGUGAGUGUAAAAAGAGCCCCCGCCAAACUCCGUC